AAUAUGAGAAACGCAUCACGUACCCAUUGAACCAAUUCCAAAUACAACUCAGUACCAAAAUGAAAAUUAUGAGGCUACUGCUAUGAAAAACGUUACAACUCAUUUCGUUUAGUUCCUCGCAACUAGCAAUGAAACAAUGCCUAGCCGGUACAAGAUAUACAAGGGACUAUCCCCAAAAGAAAAGAAUAAAAAAUCACAAAAAAGAAAGAAGCUCUCUCUAUAUCCAAAUUUUCUUCUACCUAGUCCAAGUAUGAAAAUUAGAUUACAAGAUAAUACAAAAUAUAUAAGCAAACCAUUUUUUUAGAGCAAAAGGCAUCAAUUAACUUGGGUGCUUCUCUCUUUGCAAAGCAUGUGCC
rnacentral:misc_RNA from 1 species